GACGAACGCUGGCGGCGUGCUUAACACAUGCAAGUCGAACGGAAAGGCCCUGCUUUUGUGGGGUGCUCGAGUGGCGAACGGGUGAGUAACACGUGAGUAACCUGCCCUUGACUUUGGGAUAACUUCAGGAAACUGGGGCUAAUACCGGAUAGGAGCUCCUGCUGCAUGGUGGGGGUUGGAAAGUUUCGGCGGUUGGGGAUGGACUCGCGGCUUAUCAGCUUGUUGGUGGGGUAGUGGCUUACCAAGGCUUUGACGGGUAGCCGGCCUGAGAGGGUGACCGGCCACAGUGGGACUGAGAUACGGACAAGACUCAUACGGGAAGCAGAAGUGGGGAAGAUUGAAAAAUGGACGGAAGCCUGAUGCAGCAACGCCGAGUGCGGGAUGACGGCCUUCGGGUUGUAAACCGCUUUCGCCUGUGACGAAGCGUGAGUGAAGGUAAUGGGUAAAGAAGCACCGGCUAAAUACGUG
rnacentral:rRNA from 1 species